rnacentral:rRNA from 1 species
AUUGAACGCUGGCGGAAUGCUUUACACAUGCAAGUCGAGCGGCAGCGCGGCCUUCGGGCUGGCGGCGAGCGGCGAACGGGUGAGUAAUGCAUCGGGACAUGCCCAGUCGUGGGGGAUAACACUUCGAAAGAAGUGCUAAUACCGCAUACGUCCUGAGGGGGAAAGCGGGGGAUCGCAAGACCUCGCGCGAUUGGAGUGGCCGAUGUCAGAUUAGCUAGUUGGUGGGGUAAAGGCCUACCAAGGCGACGAUCUGUAGCUGGUCUGAGAGGAUGAUCAGCCACACUGGGACUGAGACACGGCCCAGACUCCUACGGGAGGUAGCAGUGGGGAAUUUUGGACAAUGGGGGCAACCCUGAUCCAGCCAUUCCGCGUGAGUGAAGAAGGCCUUCGGGUUGUAAAGCUCUUUCGGCAGGAACGAAACGGUGGGCUCUAACAUAGUCCGCUAAUGACGGUACCUGAAGAAGAAGCACCGGCUAACUACGUG